AUUGAACGCUGGCGGCAGGCCUAACACAUGCAAGUCGAACGGUAACAGGAAGCAGCUUGCUGCUUUGCUGACGAGUGGCGGACGGGUGAGUAAUGUCUGGGAAACUGCCUGAUGGAGGGGGAUAACUACUGGAAACGGUAGCUAAUACCGCAUAACGUCGCAAGACCAAAGAGGGGGACCUUCGGGCCUCUUGCCAUCGGAUGUGCCCAGAUGGGAUUAGCUUGUAGGUGGGGUAACGGCUCACCUAGGCGACGAUCCCUAGCUGGUCUGAGAGGAUGACCAGCCACACUGGAACUGAGACACGGUCCAGACUCCUACGGGAGGCAGCAGUGGGGAAUAUUGCACAAUGGGCGCAAGCCUGAUGCAGCCAUGCCGCGUGUAUGAAGAAGGCCUUCGGGUUGUAAAGUACUUUCAGCGGGGAGGAAGGGAGUAAAGUUAAUACCUUUGCUCAUUGACGUUACCCGCAGAAGAAGCACCGGCUAACUCCGUG
rnacentral:rRNA from 1 species